GUGCCCUACGGGGGGCAGCAGUGGGGGAUAUUGCACAAUGGGGGGAACCCUGAUGCAGCGACGCCGCGUGGGUGAAGGAGCGUUUCGGCGCGUAAAGCCCUAUCGGCAGGGAAGAAGGAGGACGGUACCUGACUAAGAAGCCCCGGCUAACUACGUGCCAGCAGCCGCGGUAAUACGUAGGGGGCGAGCGUUAUCCGGAUUUAUUGGGCGUAAAGCGUGCGUAGGCGGCUUGUUAAGUCCAGAAUUAAAGCCCGAGGCUUAACCUCGGGUCGUUCUGGAUACUGGCAAGCUUGAGUAUGGUAGAG
rnacentral:rRNA from 1 species